rnacentral:rRNA from 1 species
AAUGCGUAGAGAUCUGGAGGAAUACCGAUGGCGAAGGCAGCUAUCUGGCCUAAUACUGACGCUGAGGUACGAAAGCAUGGGGAGCAAACAGGAUUAGAUACCCUGGUAGUCCAUGCCGUAAACGACGUCUACUAGCCGUUGGGGCCCGUGAGGCUUUAGUGGCGCAGCUAACGCGAUAAGUAGACCGCAUGGGGAGUACGGUCGCAAGACUAAAACUCAAAUGAAUUGACGGGGGCCCGCACAAGCGGUGGAGCAUGUGGUUUAAUUCGAUGCAACGCGAAGAACCUUACCUGGCCUUGACAUACAGAGAACUUUCCAGAGAUGGAUUGGUGCCUUCGGGAACUUUGAUACAGGUGAUGCAUGGUCGUCGUCAGCUCGUGUCCUGAGAUGUUGGGUUAAGUCCCGCAACGAGCGCAACCCUUUUCAUUAUUCGCCAGCACUUCGGGUGGGAACUUUAAGGAUACUGCCAGUGACAAACUGGAGGAAGGCGGGGACGACGUCAAGUCAUCAUGGCCCUUACGGCCAGGGCUACACACGUGCUACAAUGGUCGGUACAAAGGGUUGCUACACAGCGAUGUGAUGCUAAUCUCAAAAAGCCGAUCGUAGUCCGGAUUGGAGUAUGCAACUUGACUCCAAGAAGUCGGAAUCGCUUGUAAUCGCGGAUCAGAAUGCCGCGGUGAAUACGUUCCCGGGCCUUGU